rnacentral:misc_RNA from 1 species
CAACUUCCACCUGGCUUACCUCCNUCAGUUAUGCGUCAUGACUUGUAUCGUCUUGAGCGUAUUGUGGGUUUCCUGUGUUGCAUACCUUUCUAAUGGUAUCGUGUUGAUUGAUCGAAGUCCCUUUUCAUCUUGUGUUGCUUUUUGCGACGCAUGAUGAACAUCGAGGCGGUCUCUAUGUUCCACCACGUUGAUGCUAGCGUUUUGAUGUUGUGGCCCAUUGAGUGUUGCUUGGUUUCGUGGAUACAGAACAUGAUUUGGGCAUAGGGUUACUUGUGACUCUUGUUCUGUCCUUUAUCAGUGUUCUUUAUAACGACGGUUCAUGCGCGCCUAGGCUCGUACCUGCGCGAUGUUCUUUGUCGAAGAGGAAUGCUACCUGGUUGAUCCUGCCAGUAGUCAUAUGCUUGUCUCAAAGAUUAAGCCAUGCAUGUGUAAGUA